UACUAAACCUGAACAGCUUCCUUUUUUGUCAGAUUUUUGGAUUAACUUUGAGCCUAUUUCGUUAGCUGACACGUGUUAUAGUGUGCAUCGUUCCUGUUCCGUGUAUACUUCUGGGGGUACCUUGCUCUUCCUGUCUAUUUUGACUACCUCAUGUGGUGUUUGCUUCUGUGUGCAUGUAGCCUUUUGUCCCAGUCAAAGCGGCGAGAAGAACCACCGCUGGACUGCAAAACAAAACAAGAAAUACACUUCCCCAUCCCUGCACCCUACAUCCUACCGGCGCCGUCCUCUCCCCUCCCCGCAGCCAUGGCUCGAGGCUUUCCUCCUCCUCCCCAACUUCUCCCUGCAGCCAUCUGACGCUCCGGCGCCCUUCUCGCUGCCACCCAAGGCUUAAUCCCCGUCAACCGCGUGCGUCGCCGCUAGGAGCCUCACGGACGAGAUGGGCGUCGCGGUGGUGGGGCGGAUGUUCGUGGCCGACGCCAUGCUGCGCUUUCACCUUGGGGCGGCCAUGUUCGUGCGUGCCGGCAGCCGCCGUCGCCCGGGUGUGCUGAAACUGCAGGUGCUGCCCCUCUGCCAACGGACGCAGAUGGUGUGGAGCCCUCGCGAUGGAGGCAGAGCAGGCUGCCUGUAGGCACGACGAUGGUUGACGGCAACCAGGCGACGGCAAAGCGCAGCGUCCAGCCGGUCAGGUAUUUACCACUUCUCCAGUCGCAUACACAUAUCAGAUAAACUUGGGUCGGGAGCUUUCGUCAAAAAAAUUCCCCACGCGUGAUUUCAAGACACACCGGGCGCUAGGGAGAGGGGCUGUUUCUCAGCGAUCUUCACGCGACUUCGGGGCGGAGUAGACACCGGCCGGGGACGGCGACCUCGAGGCGGAGCAGGUGCGGGCCGCAACGACCUCAGCAACCCGGCGAGCGACCGGCGACGACGACCUCAUGACGGGCUAAGAGGGGGCGUUGACCGAGCCCGCCUGCCGGGGACGGCGAGCUCAGGGCGGAGCAGUCGCGGGCCGGUGACGGUGAUCUUAGGGCAAAGAAGGCGCGAGCCGCCGGCAACGACCUCCGGCUGGAGCAGGCAGGAGCCAGCGAGCCACCGUCGACGGUGGCAAGCAGGAGGACAUGCGGGGAAACGACAGGCUGCCGUGUGGGUGUCUGAGAUCGGCGCCGCCCUUUUUCAUCAUGCGACAAUGUUGGUCGGAGCUUAGCCGCCUCCAGUCCCUGCUCAUCUUCGUCGCACACGGGAGCCAUCCAAGUUGACUCCUCCACUCGAUGCCUCUUCUUAGCGCACAAAUCUUGGACGGCCGGAUUCUUCCUUCUGGACUACAGAAACUUGGAGUUAGCAACCAACGUUGGGCUGAAUGCGGAAAUUCAUUCGCAUCCUCUAUUGGUCUCCUCCUUUAUACAAGCCAUCUGUUUUCGCUACAAGCUUCUGUUAGUUUUACUUAUAUGCAGUUGUAAAGAUUCCGUGUGUUUGUAUUUUCUGGUCAGUGUUAUAUGAUAUAUGGCUCAAAUGUCCACUGACUUGCAUAAUUAAAAUCUGCACAUCGUUGCGGAUUUUUUUGAUAUCACUCAGAUUUAGCUAGCAGCAUUACGGAAAACUAAUGUGCCUCGCUAUAUUUUAAAAAUGAUACACGUUAGUCAAUUGAGAUGGAAGAGCAUGGAGAUGACUUAUAUUUUUUUCCAUCCACUGAACAAAUCAGUUUUAACCGUCCUUUGUUGUUUCUUUUCUUCUUCUCCAGAUGUUUAUUGACUAUAGGUCACAUACUGUAGAAGAUACAAAUAAUCUCUCUUUUCUAUUGAUAAUUGAAGUUAUUAAUUUUGUGGUGGUGACAAUAAUCGCAUAAUAAUCAAAAUACAUGCCCUGCAUUGUUGCUGCUGAGCACUAUUCUCUUUUCUGUGUACAUAUUUACAGAUGUUGAGAUGUGACCCUGAGUGCUUAGGUUUGAUUAGAAACAUUUUUUUCGCCGUCGUUGCCAAGGUUCCAGUGAUUGACUAUGUGUGUUGCAGGUGUUGUCCUAUCCUGCAUACCUUGCUUCUAUUUUUUUAGAAAUUUGUAGCUCUCUUUUCUAUUGAUAAUUGAAGUUAUUAAUUUUGUGGUGGUGACAAUAAUCGCAUAAUAAUCAAAAUACAUGCCCUGCAUUGUUGCUGCUGAGCACUAUUCUCUUUUCUGUGUACAUAUUUGCAGAUGUUGAGAUGUGACCCUGAGUGCUUAGGUUUGAUUAGAAACGGUUUUUUCGCCAUCGUUGCCAAGGUUCCAGUGAUUGACUAUGUGUGUUGCAGGGUAACAUUUAUUGUGUGGCCAGAUUUUGCCCGGCCGCGCCCCUUGGGCAGCGGCGGAGGAGGGAGGAGGCAGGUGGAGGGGGUGGGAGGCGCGGCGGCUAGGGUUCAUGUGGCUGAUUAGCCCCUUCCUGAUAGCUGGCCAUUCAAGCUUCAUGAUGUUUUCUUGGUUUUAUCAUUAUAUGUGAUGGUCCACUGUUAGUUCAGCCAAAUAUCAUUCUUGUGGUCCAGUUGCAUGUUAUACAAUGAACACACCCAGUACGAAGGUUAAACGCAGUAUCCUGUAUUUUCAGAUAGUUGAUCGUGUUGCUGUGCAUGUGCUUCGCUGGAGCUGUGGUUCCCAAAUUAAAUCAUACAUUCAGGUAUUGCCUUCCAAUUUCAUAUCAUGUUCUCUCCAGUUAGUGUCCACUUAUUUUGCGGUUGGUGAAAAUCAAAUAGACAAAAGUUGGUUCAUACACACCUACUAAUUUUGUAUAUUCAGCUGUUAGUUAGCUCAAGAGAAAUAGGGCUUAGUGUGGGUUCCCACUUUUGAUUUAUUUAGUGUUCCAGUAGCCCAAUUAAUCUAUGUAAGGUAAGCAGGCAUGUAUAUGGUUUUGCAGCCAAAGAACAAUGAAGAUCAGGUCACAAGAUUAGUGUGGCUUCGAAGAAUAGAAUAAUCAUGUGAGCCUAUUGCAAAAAUAGAUCUGGUGUUUUCCAUAAUGAUUUUUCCCGAUCACUGUACUAAUCUGGUGUUUUUUUAGUUUGUAGCUGCAUUUGAAAGUAAGAACUUGACAGAUUAGUGCAACCAUUUUAAAUUUUAGUUUACACUGUAAUUGGAGAAAGAGGAGAUGCUAGGAUCCUGGGUGAUGAAAUAAUGUUGCAGUGAUAAAUGUUGGUUUCGACUCCAGAUUGCUACUUGUGGAUGCUUUAUUUGAAGGCUUUAUCUUGAGACAAACACUUAAAGAUAGAUUGGUGGAACGAGCUUCAGAAGGGAAAGGAGUAGGACAAAGGUGUCGUCACAGAAGACGUAGGGCUGAGAUCAGGGGAAGGAGGUGUCGGGAGGGAGACUGCAGCGACUGCGACGAGCUCGGCUUUCUUCCGCGCUGUUAGAUCUUCUUUUUAUCUGUAUGUGGCUUUUUAUUUCUUUCCAUCACAUUUAUACUGCUUCUGGUUUUGUAUUCCUGUUGCCUUAUAAUGGAUUAGUCCUUAUGUCCGCUUCCAUAUGAUUGGACGUGUUGGUGGCCGCCGGCCAGGUCAACAUCUAAGAUCACCUCAAGGUGUUGCCCCUGCACCAUCUAUUUGUGUUACACGUUAUGCUCCUUCCGGUGGUGAGCGGGCUGGUCUCAAGUGUUUGGGAAGGAUCAUGCUUGGUCUCAUCGGUUUGUUGCUCCUCUGUUUCGCCCACUAUCGACACGCCUCUCACCUGCUAAUUUUAUUUCUGAAACUUUACAUGCCAACCUGUAUUUCUUGCUUUAAUUAUUGCUUCCAGAUGUUGUAAUGUGCUCUUCAGGUGUGCUAACUUUUUAAUUGAUCUUAUGUGUAUUCUAGAAUGGUAAGGCGCCUUUGGUGUGGACUGGCGAACCAGAGCCUGUACAUGAUGUUCAAACUGAGCUUGACGUGUCGCUUAUGUAUUGGACUAACCACUAAUAUUUCGAGUUCAUCAUCAAUGCAGCUACCUAGGAUGUUCUUGGGUUCAAGCACACCACUGUGUUCACACUUAUAAAAUUCAGAUCGUUCUAUUGGUUUCCUAAAUUGUGCAUGCAUUCCAGAGUCUGACAAAGAAUGUCUCCUAGGAAGGUACAGUUUAUUGGUUUGCAGCACAACAAAAAAGGUAACUACUGAGGUAAUGUACUCUAUGAAGUGUUUAUUACCUGCUAUGUAACUAAUGCAUCAUGCGAGGAGUUGUAACAUGUUGGUCCUUUUUGAACAUGCUAUGGGAAAUGGCGUGUUACACUGGUACAGGUGACAGUUAGAUCAGUCUGCACGAUAAUGAAUACCCAACCCAGAUGACUUCAGUACAAAGAAUAGAAGGCAAAAUUUCGGCAGGUCAUGAGGUCCUUUCUAUUUCCUUUGGCUUUUCUCUAGACGAUAGUUAGCCAUAGUUAUAAUGUAGAUAAGAAAGAAAAAUUGUGAGUGUCAUUUUCCCUUCUAUUAGAGUGGCUGCUUUGAAACAAAUUUGCAAUUUACUGUUCUAAAACUAAUUAGUCAGUCAUAUUAUUUAGAUGGCAAAUAUGAAAAUACUACAAAUAGUGUUUGUUUACCAUUGUGCUAGCGUCAGGCAUGACUCAAAUUUUGCCAGUCUAGACAUAUAUUGCUUUCUUUUUCCCUUAUUUUUGCGUUGACAUAGACAUAUAACACCUCAUGUUUAAUAUGACUCAUAUAGCGUCGGAAAGGCAUGCCAUUAUAAAAGGAAAUAUUUAUUUUUAGACCUUUUUACAUCAAAAAAACCUUGCACGCACUGAAGGGUAUGCCACAGUUAUUAGUUAUACUUCAUUUAUAUUUAUGUUCUUCGCAGUCCUUUCUGUGUAUUAUACAAAAGGUAUAUGACUGCAUUGGAAAAACUCACCGAAUUAAGCAAAUUCAUGUUGGAUUCUAUUCACUAUCGUCCCUGUACAAGAAAAUUAGCUAGGUCACGUAUUGUCCAGGUACAGAUGAACAUGGGAUUCAAAAGGUCCACCUUCAGUAUACAUGUAUUUGACCACAAUGUUCAGCUAUUACUAUUCAGGAUCGCCCUUCUAUGUGUCUGUGUCAUUCGUCAUACCUUACAGAUCUGAUCGAGAUUUCUACAGAGAGCAAAUAUAAAUGUCCACUACUUGAUGUGGUUGUGCACGCUCAUGCAGUCUUGGACGGUAUACACUCUACCUACAUUUCA